rnacentral:rRNA from 1 species
GACGAACGCUGGCGGCGUGCCUAACACAUGCAAGUCGACCUAAGUGGCGAACGGGUGAGUAACACGUGGGUAACCUGCCCAUCAGAAGGGGAUAACACUUGGAAACAGGUGCAAAUACCGUAUACUGAUGGAUGGACCCGCGGUGCAUUAGCUAGUUGGUGAGGUAACGGCUCACCAAGGCCACGAUGCAUAGCGGGCCUGAGAGGGUGACCGGCCACAUUGGAACUGAGACACGGCCCAGACUCCUACGGGAGGCAGCAGUGGGGAAUCUUCGGCAAUGGGCGAAAGUCUGACCGAGCCACGCCGCGUGAGUGAAGAAGGUUUUCGGGUCGUAAAGCUCUGUUGUUAGAGAGGCGGUAUCUAACCAGGAAGCCACGGCUAACUACGUGCCAGCCGCCGCGGUAAUAC